rnacentral:lncRNA from 1 species
UUUUUUUUCUUAUUUUGCUGCUUAUUUUCAGCACCAGCCACUCAUUUGCAUACCAAAAGAACUGCAUGCUAUAACGUUUUCUUUAAAAAGAAAAGAGUCACAGUGGUUGACCCUUAUAACCAAGCCAUGGUGAGAGAGCCUUGACUUUAUUCACCUUGACUUUAUUCACCAAAGGUACAAAUAUUUGGAAACUAUUAAUUUGUUGCUAAGAAGUGAAUAUACACUUAUUUCUACUGAAAGGCAUGAUCCUAUGUUGAUGAAGCCAGGUACAUUCUAGCUCCAAAGCCAUUUUAAUAGAUGAAAAGGAAGGUAACUAUGCUUUUGAAAAUUAAAAUGAUUAAGUUUAGGUGGCUCCCUUUAACUAUUUCCCCAUGUUUAUUUACAUUGUUUGUGUACCAGUAAAAAACAUAAUCCUUAAAAUGGAAUUCAAUGCGAAUUUCUAUUUGGAUCCAUUCACUAGCAUCUAAAUUGCAUAAGAAAACAGUGUUGGGCUUUCCCAUCAGAACUUAGCUCUAAUUCCCUAAAUUCUGAAGUUGGCUGUUUUGAUUGAGGUCCUAAAACCAAGCAGGGAAGAUGAAAGAAGGCCUGUAAAAAUCAAGAUCCUGAGAAAGUUUCUGCUUAUUGUUCAUCUUGGGAAAUUGUACCUCUGUCUUAUUAUCUUUGAAAGGAGAGAUCUAGAACAGAGGAGGGAGGAUGGGGUGGGUAAGUUUUAAUGGGGAUAAGGAGUGAUUUAGAGGAAGGAUGAGGGUACACCCCAAAUCUUCUGAGAACUCAUCCUUUUCACAUCCAGCCUAAAACAGCUACAAAUUAAGAAUUUAAAACAGUAUCGCUUGAGUUUGAGUUUAGUCCUCUGUGUUUCAACUUGUAUGUGAUAUAAAACCACAUGUAAAAUGUUUAAUUUUCUCAGGAAUUUCUCAUAAGGACCUUCAACAUUCUGUGGUAGAAAGAUAUAAUUCAAAUGACUGGUUUUCUAAAGGGUGUUUAUUUGUGGUUUGUUUUUUUUUUUUUAAAUCACAUUUUCUGUAGAAUAUGAUUAUUCUGUGUUACACGUCAGUAACUGAUUUUAGAGUUAAGUCAACUUGUGUGCUAUAAAGAAAUGGGGCAAAGAAGAUUUAUCUUCUUUUUGAAUCCACAUGAGUUCCAUCAUUAAAGAGGGACUGCCAGUGUGACCUGCUACUGAUUAAGAUGGUAACUAACUGGGAUGACAAAAGCACACAAAUGGCUAUCUCCUAAAAAUAAGAUGAACUGUUCUGUAGAAAUAACCCAUAUCCUGACCUCUUGAUGAAUGAUAAAAUUACCUUUCAUAUCAUUAACCUUUCAUAUCAUUAACUUUACAUUUAAGGGAAGUUCCAUGAAUAAAGCCAUUGCUGAGGAAAAAAAUUAUAAACUCCCUAUGUUAUGAUAUUUCAUUUACUUCCAUAAAAAUCUAACAAAACACCCCUCUUCUUAGUAGUUGAAAGAAUUCUUUAAACACCUACUUUGUCUAAAUUAUGAGUUCCUUAUUGAAAAGACUGGUUUGCACAUGAAACAGCUUUAACAGACAAUACUUUUCUGCAUUUUGAGUGUUUUUAAAGAUAUAUACUGAUAAUGAUAUUGACACAGAAAACUAGGUAUGACUUAUUUUUGAACUUUCUCAGAAGAAAACCAAUGUGCAUACACAGGCUCACUAUGGAGACAUUGCGUUGAGUGACCGUUUAAUCGUGAAUGGGCAAACGAGAAAGCAUACUGGCUUUGGAGAAUUAUUCUGCUUUCCCUAAUUUGAAAACCAGGAAGUUUUUUACUUAAGCUCCUUUGGAACUUAUUUACAAGAGAAGUAACCGUCCCACCAGUUCUGUUAGGGACAGUGAUUAAUACCUUCACUUUUCAGAUAAGGCUGUGGAAAAAAAAACAGGUUAGAAAUAUCCCCCCCCACACACACCCCUGAAUCAUUCUGUAGAGUAAGCAGAAGUAGGUGGAGAGCCAGCCCCAGUCCAGUUCCCCCUCUUGGACCCAGGCAUCACAGAGGGGGACUUCCUCUGCACCCUGACUUUACACUGGCGCAGCCGCAGGCCUGAAACUCCAGGAAAAUGUUUUUGAACUAACACGGAUAAAACAAGUGUUGGGAAGGAGAGCACUUGGGGGAGAUGCAUUCUGUUGCUUUAAAUCAUGGCCAUUCAUUCUUCUUUCACAUUUACACAAAAGGUUUUCCACCUACCUGACGAUUAAACUUUAAAGUAUCACAUGUCCAGAAGAGAAUUUUUGUGAUAGUUUUCUCUUUUUCAUUUAUAAUUUAUUUUCAAUCUCUUUUCUCUCUGCUCCCCGCACUCUGCCCCACAGGAAAAAGGGAAAGUGGUGGCAGUUAUCAGCUCUGAGUGUUUGCCAUCCUUUAAGGGUUGCCUCUUCUAGGAGGCCCCCUCUGUGAGUUCACAGUGCUUAUUCUCCACACUGAAUUUUAAUAAAAUGCCUCCUUUGGAACUUAUUAUGUGUAAGCUAUUUGUUAGUUACAUGUAUAGGGUCCCUUAUGUCUGGCAUUACAGGAAAAAUCAGCCUUUCUAUUUCCAAAAGCCACAGUUCAUAAAUUUCUAUUUCGACAAUGCCAGCAUGGCAAGGAAAAUUUUGUGCACCGAGAAUGAUGUGAGACAAACAGAAAGUUCUGGAAACAGUUUGGUUUUGCCUGUUUAAAAAUUGGUUUUCUUAAGAUGCCUCAUGUAUAGGCUCCCCUGUUAGAAGGCAAACACCAUCCCAUUUCCCUCUUACACCCCACAGCAUUGUACUCAGAUGAGGGUCGUGUCUGUGGCUCCACACAAAGUCAUCUCUAGACAUAAUCUCAAACACACUCUUAGGCUUCAGAGAGACCUACUGCAAAUAGCUCCUAAAACACAGUUGUGUCCACUUUGCCUUCUUUUUCCCUGGCAGAGAACAAACUGCUCGAGGCUGGGUUCGCUUUGUCUUCUGAUGUGACCCUUCCCACUGUCACCCCCAAGGUGGUCAACCAGUCCUUUCUCCAUGCUCUGCGGGAGCACUCCUCACACUGCACUGGGGUUGUCUCCUUGGUUAGUGCUGAGGUGUGCUUGAGGGCAGGGACUAGGUCUCCCCUCUGAAUCUGACACAUAGCUCACCCUCGGUAAACCCUUGAGACCCUCCAAAGGCAUCCCUGUCUGCACAGCUGGCUUGGCUUUGGCAUUAGCGCAUUUCAGUAAAAUUUAACUAAUAUGCAGAUUCUUGGAGAGGUAGUGCAGUAAGAGCUUAUAAAUGUGUAAAUAGAUCAAUGAGCUUUGUUGGUUUUCCAGAUCGGUAAUGGGCUGUUAACAUUCAGAGCAUUCUAGGCUUGGAUCUCAGUCCACCAGGUAUGAUCAUUGUGGGAUAAAGCUGGAGAAUUUCAUCAGAUAUAAUCAUCUGAAGUUAUGGAUAAAAAGUAGCUUCCAUUCCUGUUUUCUUUUUCUUUUUCUUUUUGAACCACACAUGGAUGGCAUAAUCAUGGGUGUUCAUUGUGUAGGAGCAUGUUCUUAGUCUUAGGAAAUAUAUGCCAAAGAAUUUAGAGGUAAGAGGCCAGGUCUGCUUAUAGAUACAGACAGAGAGAGAGAGAGAUGGAUAGGGACAGAGAGCAAUAAAGCAAAUGUGGCAGAGGGUAACAGUGACUGAAUCUAAGAGAAAAGUCUGGGGUGUUAUCGCUCAGUUGUUUUCAGCCAGCCUGGGUUCCAUUCCUGACCUCAGCCACGCUACAGGCUGUGUGGUACUUGGUCAUUUAAUUGACCUCAUUAAGUUUUAAUUGCUUCCCUAAGAAUGGACAUAAUCAUGGAGCCUACACAAAAGGUCGCUGUGAAGAUGAAGUGACCCAGCGAAUGUAAAGCAUUUGCUGGGUACCAGGCUCAUAACCAUGAUGGAUCCGAGCCAUGGUGCUAAUGACAUCAGUCAUGAAUACUUGCUGAGUGCCUGUCCCUGUACUUCUACUCCAUGUUGCACUUGUUUUAAAAGUUUAAGACAAGGUCCCUUCUCUACUGUAUGACUGAAUCAUUAUAUAAAUUAGAGGUUAUGAAAAAACCUGGAUAAGCCAAAUAAUCCUUUGGGAUCCUAAUCUCUAAGUCAUAAGUAACUGCUAAAAGGUAUACCACAAUGGAACUAAUUUUCUAAAGUGUUUUAUUGGUUUUUCUUUGGGCUCAGGAGAAAAAUGCAUUCUGAGACUGUUAAAAGCUCUUUAAAAUCAAACAACUGUUUACCUUGUUAAGAAUUUUGAGAGACCACUUUGUACGUAUAAACUUUACUUUCUCAGACUGAUUUUUGUGUCUCACUUUCCAAACUGGGUUCCUGAAAUAUACAAGAUCAUAAAUGUGUUCAUAACAAUAGCAAACACUCACACAGGGCACCCUCCUGGCCACACACCAGUUUUACUUCUCCAUGUUCGCCAACUGGCGUAUUCCUCUUAAAAUCUUUUGCAGUGCGUAUUAUCCUCCUGCUCAUUCACACCUGGGGACAUGGAGGUGCAGGCAGGUGAAAUCAUCUGCCCAAGCUUAAAAUGCUCACCAACCCCGGCAACCUGGCACCAGCAUCCAUGCUCUG